rnacentral:lncRNA from 1 species
GUCCUCGUUUCCAUAAUUUUUUUUGCUUUUUCAUAUCUAAUAUGAAAUAUAUUUACCUAUCAGGGAUCAGAAUCUCAAAUGCCUCUUCUGUUCCCUCUCAGCUAAGAAACUCCCUCUGGCAGCAACUCAGACAGAAAAAUUGUCAAGAUGGCAGCACAACACAAGAGAUGGAAAGUGAUCAGCUGUUCUUGCCAGCCUUCAACCCAGCAGUUACUGCUGCUAGUACCGUUGAAAGCAGAAAAGGAGAGAGGCAUCCAGAUGAAAGUGCAUUCAAAAUACUGUUUAAAAUGAGAAAGAAAAAUAUAUUGCUCCUGUUUACUUUGGAGACAGUACUUCCAGUUAAAGAUGCGGAUAUGAAAGGAGAAAGAGCCUUCAAGCAGAAUGGAGGGCAGAGGUCCCGCAAACUGUGUUAUAGAGGAAGAGCUCACAGGUGAUCUUGAGCUACAGUGUUACAGCGGGGUUAUUCUGAAAGUGUUUGUAGUCUUGAGGCCUUAUGGCUGGAAUCCUACAGCUAUACCUCAGUAAAAUGUAAUCACUAUUAGAUAUUGCUGAAUCAACUAGCCUAACAGAGGCAAGGCUGACACAACUCCAUACCCACCUCCAGUGAGUAACAAGGCUGAGCACGUAUUCCCAAUAGACACACAUACAAGUAUAAUCCACAUACAUAUCCACCUGACUGGUCACACAGAUUGUCGGAGACAGAAAACAUAGUGCUCGUGAACACAAACAGCACCAACAGCUUUGUCUUGUUCCUCUUCCUGGAUGAAGGUCUAAUAGUGAAAAACAUAUCUAUGUUAUAUAUUAUACCUAUUUAUGUCCUAUAUAGGCUUUCUCAAUAUCCAAACACUCAGUCUAUGUACUAGGCUAGUCCCUACCAUCUGUCUCACAGCUGAUGCCACCAGGGCACUCAAAACUCCAAGACUGUUAUCCUUACAUCCAGUUGCUGGUGCAGGCCUGAAUCUCUCUGCUUUAGUCUGUUAUCAAUAAACAAUAAAUUUCAUUAAUCUCCCUUAUGCUG